AUUUUUUCUGGAAAACUGCUCUCAAACCCCCCUUUUUUUAUCUCUUCCUCAUUUCUUCAGCUAAGGUUUCAACACCCAUCAUCGCCGGCAGUUCACCGUGCCGAACGGAGAGGGGAGCGGCCACGGGGUAGAUCCGGGCAUGGGCAUGGACGGUGGGGUGUGUGAUGGUGCUGGUGGCAGACAACAUAGGAGAGUGGGAGUGGUGCUGGUGGCAGACAGCAUGGGAGAGUGUUGGCCAAGGUUGAGGGGUGUGCUGUUUUUUUUUUUUUCUUUGCUGGAAAAUGUUUGGUGAUGGUGGGCUAGGGUUAGUGGGUGAGUUUAGGUGGGCUGUUGGUUUAGAUUGGGUUUGAUGAUGUUGGGCUGAUGAAAUUGGGGUGGGUAUUUGGUUGUAUUUGGGCCAAAAUUGGCCUACAACAAAUAUCUUAUUAAAAAUUUAAAAUUUAAUUAAUAACACAUAUUCAUAUUUAACAGAA